GCUAAUCCUGGUCGGACAUCAGGAGGUUAGUGCAAUGGCAUAAGCUAGCUUGACUGCGAGCGUGACGGCGCGAGCAGGUGCGAAAGCAGGUCAUAGUGAUCCGGUGGUUCUGAAUGGAAGGGCCAUCGCUCAACGGAUAAAAGGUACUCCGGGGAUAACAGGCUGAUACCGCCCAAGAGUUCAUAUCGACGGCGGUGUUUGGCACCUCGAUGUCGGCUCAUCACAUCCUGGGGCUGAAGUAGGUCCCAAGGGUAUGGCUGUUCGCCAUUUAAAGUGGUACGCGAGCUGGGUUUAGAACGUCGUGAGACAGUUCGGUCCCUAUCUGCCGUGGGCGCUGGAGAAUUGAGGGGGGCUGCUCCUAGUACGAGAGGACCGGAGUGGACGCAUCACUGGUGUU
rnacentral:rRNA from 1 species